rnacentral:rRNA from 1 species
AAGGUUUCCGUAGGUGAACCUGCGGAAGGAUCAUUGUCGAUGCCUUACAUGCAGUCCAACACGUGAAUCGGUUUGAACACAUACGGCGGGCUUGAGGUGUUCCACACCUCGGCUUACGUCUGGUCUGGAGGCGGCCGACGAAGUGCGUUCUCCUCCGUGCCAAAACUCAAAUCCCGGCGCUGAAUGCGUCAAGGAAAUUAAAUUUUGCUCUGAGCGCACCUGCAUGGCACCGGAGACGGUUUCGUGCGGGUUGUGUUUUGACACAUGAUAUAGAAUGACUCUCGGCAACGGAUAUCUAGGCUCUUGCAUCGAUGAAGAACGUAGCGAAAUGCGAUACUUGGUGUGAAUUGCAGAAUCCCGUGAACCAUCGAGUCUUUGAACGCAAGUUGCGCCCGAUGCCAUUAGGUUGAGGGCACGUCUGCCUGGGUGUCACAUAUCGAAGCCUCCUGCCAAUUUCCUUUUGACGGGUAUUGCGCACGGUGGAUGUUGGCCUCCCGUGAGCUCUUUCGUCUCAUGGUUGGUUGAAAAUUGAGACCUUGGUAGGGUGUGCCAUGAUAGAUGGUGGUUGUGUGACCCACGAGACCAAUCAUGCGCUGCCCUAUUGAAUUUGGCCUCUUUUACCCAUAUGCGUUUCUAAACGCUCGUGAUGAGACCUCAGGUCAGGCGGGGCUACCCGCUGAAUUUAAGCAUAUCAAUAAGCGGAGGAAAAGAAACUAACAAGGAUUCC